GCGCCGCCGGAGCCUGAUGCCGGAAGCCGCGGAGCUGGGAGGGACGAGGCCGCGCUGGGCCGCCGGGGAGCCGGGAGCUCUGUAGCGGCUCGGCCUUGCCUGCGUCGCUCCUUCGGGCGCCGGGAGUGGGAGAGGGAGCAGCCCCUGAAGAACAACACGGUGGUGGCCAUGUCUCGAAAAGUGCGACAAAUGGUUCAUUUUGGCAAAAUUGUUUCACCCUGGGGACUUCAGCUGAAAAGAACUGCCAGCGAGUUUAGCCGUGCUUGGCCCAGGAAUGUAUCAUCAGGUGUUGUCGCUACGACCUCAUCAGCCAACACCAUGGAACUUCUUGGAAAACCUUACCUGCAAGAUGACUACAGCAAUGUCACCAAGAAGAUUCUUUCUAAGGUGGGAAGAAACUUGCACAACCAACGUUAUCAUCCUUUGUGGCUGAUAAAAGAACGAGUGAAGGAUCAUUUCUACAAGCAAUACAUAGGGCGCUUCGGGAACCCGCUGUUUUCAGUUUAUGACGAUUUGUCUCCAGUGGUCACAGUAGAACAGAAUUUUGACAGCCUGCUUGUACCAAAAAGUCAUCCUAGCAGGAAGAAAGGGGAUAACUACUAUUUAAAUCGCGCUCAUAUGCUGAGAGCCCACACUUCAGCUCACCAGUGGGACUUGAUGCACUCCGGACUUGAUGCCUUUCUUGUUAUGGGAGAUGUUUACCGUCGUGAUCAGAUUGAUAACACCCACUACCCAGUCUUUCACCAGAUGGAAGGUGUCCGACUUUUCUCCAACCAUGAGCUGUUCAGUAACAUCAGCAGCGGAGAAAGUCUUUCCUUGUUUGAAAAUGGUCUUCGCACGUCAUACAAGCAAGAGAGUCACACUGUGGAAGCAGUGAAGCUUGUGGAGCACAGUUUGAAGCAAGCGUUGGCAAGACUUGUGGCUCAUCUCUUUGGUGAGGGGCUUGAGAUUCGAUGGGUGGACUGCUAUUUCCCAUUUACUCACCCUUCCUUCGAGAUGGAGAUCAACUUCCAGGGAGAAUGGAUGGAGGUCUUAGGUUGCGGGGUCAUGGAGCAGCAGCUUGUUAACUCAGCUGGCGCCGAGAACAAAAUUGGCUGGGCGUUUGGCUUGGGCAUGGAGAGGCUGGCCAUGAGUCUGUAUGGGAUACCCGACAUCCGCCUUUUCUGGAGCGAAGACGAGCGUUUCCUGAAACAGUUCUGUGUGCCUCGUAUUGAUCAAAAAAUAACAUUUCAGCCUUUCAGCAAAUACCCUCCCGUGAUCAACGAUAUCUCUUUUUGGCUACCCUCUGAAAAAUAUUCUGCAAAUGACUUCUAUGAUUUAGUCCGAACUAUUGGUGGAGACAUGGUGGAAAGCGUUGACCACAUAGAUGAGUUCACCCAUCCAAAGAACUUAAAGAAGGCCACAGCUCAGCAUUUCUUACCUGAAAAAUUGCUGUCAUGACAUCAAGGGUGAGGAUGACACAGAAAGAGGCAAACAUGAGGCUCCCAGCCACUUGCAAUGCUAACGUGUGUGGGGAGGGAUGGAAUUUUCAGAAGACAAAGGACGAAAAGGGUCAGCCAUUGUUACCAGAUCACUUACCGACACUUGGGGAGAACCCUGUCUCAGAAGGAAGUGAAUCACCUCCAUCAAGCCAUUGAGGAAGCCGUUGUCCGAGAGCUGGGAGUAGAAGGACG